rnacentral:rRNA from 2 species
GGGUUGUGAGGUUAAGCGACUAAGCGUACACGGUGGAUGCCCUGGCAGUCAGAGGCGAUGAAGGACGUGCUAAUCUGCGAUAAGCGCCGGUAAGGUGAUAUGAACCGUUAUAACCGGCGAUUUCCGAAUGGGGAAACCCAGUGUGAUUCGUCACACUAUCAUUAACUGAAUCCAUAGGUUAAUGAGGCGAACCGGGGGAACUGAAACAUCUAAGUACCCCGAGGAAAAGAAAUCAACCGAGAUUCCCCCAGUAGCGGCGAGCGAACGGGGAGGAGCCCAGAGCCUGAAUCAGCAUGUGUGUUAGUGGAAGCGUCUGGAAAGGCGCGCGAUACAGGGUGACAGCCCCGUACACAAAAGCGCAUGUGCUGUGAGCUCGAUGAGUAGGGCGGGACACGUGGUAUCCUGUCUGAAUAUGGGGGGACCAUCCUCCAAGGCUAAAUACUCCUGACUGACCGAUAGUGAACCAGUACCGUGAGGGAAAGGCGAAAAGAACCCCGGCGAGGGGAGUGAAAAAGAACCUGAAACCGUGUACGUACAAGCAGUGGGAGCACAGGUUUACCUGUGUGACUGCGUACCUUUUGUAUAAUGGGUCAGCGACUUAUAUUCUGUAGCAAGGUUAACCGAAUAGGGGAGCCGGAGGGAAACCGAGUCUUAAUUGGGCGUUAAGUUGCAGGGUAUAGACCCGAAACCCGGUGAUCUAGCCAUGGGCAGGUUGAAGGUUGGGUAACACUAACUGGAGGACCGAACCGACUAAUGUUGAAAAAUUAGCGGAUGACCUGUGGCUGGGGGUGAAAGGCCAAUCAAACCGGGAGAUAGCUGGUUCUCCCCGAAAGCUAUUUAGGUAGCGCCUCGUGAACUCAUCUCCGGGGGUAGAGCACUGUUUCGGCUAGGGGGCCAUCCCGGCUUACCAACCCGAUGCAAACUGCGAAUACCGGAGAAUGUUAUCACGGGAGACACACGGCGGGUGCUAACGUCCGUCGUGAAGAGGGAAACAACCCAGACCGCCAGCUAAGGUCCCAAAGUCAUGGUUAAGUGGGAAACGAUGUGGGAAGGCCCAGACAGCCAGGAUGUUGGCUUAGAAGCAGCCAUCAUUUAAAGAAAGCGUAAUAGCUCACUGGUCGAGUCGGCCUGCGCGGAAGAUGUAACGGGGCUAAACCAUGCACCGAAGCUGCGGCAGCGACACUGUGUGUUGUUGGGUAGGGGAGCGUUCUGUAAGCCUGUGAAGGUGGCCUGUGAGGGUUGCUGGAGGUAUCAGAAGUGCGAAUGCUGACAUAAGUAACGAUAAAGCGGGUGAAAAGCCCGCUCGCCGGAAGACCAAGGGUUCCUGUCCAACGUUAAUCGGGGCAGGGUGAGUCGACCCCUAAGGCGAGGCCGAAAGGCGUAGUCGAUGGGAAACGGGUUAAUAUUCCCGUACUUGGUGUUACUGCGAAGGGGGGACGGAGAAGGCUAUGUUGGCCGGGCGACGGUUGUCCCGGUUUAAGCGUGUAGGUGUGUGUUCCAGGUAAAUCCGGUUCACUUUAACACUGAGGCGUGACGACGAGGCACUACGGUGCUGAAGCAACAAAUGCCCUGCUUCCAGGAAAAGCCUCUAAGCAUCAGGUAACAUCAAAUCGUACCCCAAACCGACACAGGUGGUCAGGUAGAGAAUACCAAGGCGCUUGAGAGAACUCGGGUGAAGGAACUAGGCAAAAUGGUGCCGUAACUUCGGGAGAAGGCACGCUGACACGUAGGUGAAGUGAUUUACUCAUGGAGCUGAAGUCAGUCGAAGAUACCAGCUGGCUGCAACUGUUUAUUAAAAACACAGCACUGUGCAAACACGAAAGUGGACGUAUACGGUGUGACGCCUGCCCGGUGCCGGAAGGUUAAUUGAUGGGGUCAGCGCAAGCGAAGCUCCUGAUCGAAGCCCCGGUAAACGGCGGCCGUAACUAUAACGGUCCUAAGGUAGCGAAAUUCCUUGUCGGGUAAGUUCCGACCUGCACGAAUGGCGUAAUGAUGGCCAGGCUGUCUCCACCCGAGACUCAGUGAAAUUGAACUCGCUGUGAAGAUGCAGUGUACCCGCGGCAAGACGGAAAGACCCCGUGAACCUUUACUAUAGCUUGACACUGAACAUUGAGCCUUGAUGUGUAGGAUAGGUGGGAGGCUUUGAAGCGUGGACGCCAGUCUGCGUGGAGCCGACCUUGAAAUACCACCCUUUAAUGUUUGAUGUUCUAACGUGGACCCGUUACCCGGGUUGCGGACAGUGUCUGGUGGGUAGUUUGACUGGGGCGGUCUCCUCCUAAAGAGUAACGGAGGAGCACGAAGGUUGGCUAAUCCUGGUCGGACAUCAGGAGGUUAGUGCAAUGGCAUAAGCCAGCUUGACUGCGAGCGUGACGGCGCGAGCAGGUGCGAAAGCAGGUCAUAGUGAUCCGGUGGUUCUGAAUGGAAGGGCCAUCGCUCAACGGAUAAAAGGUACUCCGGGGAUAACAGGCUGAUACCGCCCAAGAGUUCAUAUCGACGGCGGUGUUUGGCACCUCGAUGUCGGCUCAUCACAUCCUGGGGCUGAAGUAGGUCCCAAGGGUAUGGCUGUUCGCCAUUUAAAGUGGUACGCGAGCUGGGUUUAGAACGUCGUGAGACAGUUCGGUCCCUAUCUGCCGUGGGCGCUGGAGAACUGAGGGGGGCUGCUCCUAGUACGAGAGGACCGGAGUGGACGCAUCACUGGUGUUCGGGUUGUCAUGCCAAUGGCACUGCCCGGUAGCUAAAUGCGGAAGAGAUAAGUGCUGAAAGCAUCUAAGCACGAAACUUGCCCCGAGAUGAGUUCUCCCUGAGACUUAGAGUCUCCUGAAGGAACGUUGAAGACGACGACGUUGAUAGGCCGGGUGUGUAAGCGCAGCGAUGCGUUGAGCUAACCGGUACUAAUGAACCGUGAGGCUUAACCUUACAACGCCGAAGCUGUU